rnacentral:piRNA from 1 species
UNGGCUUCAAGCUGUUCCUGCCUGAAGGG